ACCUAGUUUUGUCCAAAAACCCAAAAGCACAGACUCCCUUUCCCCUCCCUCCGCUUCCCUCUCCGCCAUUUCGUCGAACACCUUCUCCGAUCGCACGCCGCCGGCCAUGGCGGACGCCUCCGAGGCGGCGGCCACCGUCUCAGCGCGGCUCCUGGAGCUCGCGGCCGAAGACGACGCGGCGGCGCUCGGGGACCUCCUCGCUGCGCACCCGUCCCUCGCCGACGAGCCCGCGCCAUGGUACUCCCCGGCGCGCGGCGCGGAGCCCAUGACUCCGCUCAUGGUCGCCGCAGCGUACGGGUCCGUGUCCUGCCUCGAGGUCCUCCUCUCGCCGCCCCACCUCGUCGACCCCAACCGCGCCUCCCCGGCGUCCCUCUCCACCGCGCUCCACCUCGCCGCCGCCGGCGGGGCCUCCUCGGCGCCCGCCGCUGUCUCCCGCCUCCUCGCCGCCGGCGCCGACCCCACCUUCCUAGACCAUCUCCAACGGCGGCCAUCCGACCUCGUCGCCCUCCCACCCAACUCGCUCCCGCUCAAGAACCACCUCCUCUCCCUCCUCGGCGCCCGCAAGGAGUGGCCGCCGGACCCCUCCCUCCCCGACAUCAAGAACGGCGCCUACGCCUCCGACGACUUCCGCAUGUACUCCUUCAAAGUGCGCGCGUGCUCGCGCGCCUACUCCCACGACUGGACGGAGUGCCCCUUCGUCCAUCCCGGCGAGAACGCGCGGCGGCGGGAUCCGCGCAAGUACCACUACAGCUGCGUGCCCUGCCCGGAGUUCAAGAAGGGCGCCGGCUGCCGGAGAGGGGACAUGUGCGAAUACGCGCACGGGGUGUUCGAGAGCUGGCUCCACCCGGCGCAGUACCGGACGCGGCUGUGCAAGGACGGCGUCGGCUGUGCGCGCCGUGUCUGCUUCUUCGCGCACACGCCGGAGGAGCUCCGGCCACUGUACGUGUCGUCGGCGGGGUCGCGCAGCGCGAUGGAGAUGGCAGCGGCGAUGGGGAUGGGGCUGCCGUCGCCUGGGGCGUCGUUCACGCCGCCACUGUCGCCGUCCGGCGGCGGCACCGGCGUGGCGGGUGCGUGGCCACAGCCGAACGUGCCCGCGCUGUGCCUGCCUGGGAGCGCGGGGAACCUUCACCUGAGCCGGCUGCGCACGUCGCUGAGCGCGCGCAGCAUGGCCGUGGACGAGCUGCUCGCCUCGGCCGAAUACGAUGGCCUCGUUGGGUCACCUGCCUCAGUGCGCUCGGCGAGGGGAAAGACGCUUGUGCCUUCAAAUCUAGAUGAUCUGUUCUCUGCGGAGAUGGCGGGCGCUGCGGCAUCUCACUCCCCACGGUAUGCAGACCAGGGCGGCGCUGCUUUCUCGCCGACGCGCAAGGCUGCCAUGCGGAACCAGUUCCAGCAGCAGCAGACCUUGCUGUCUCCUCGGGCCACGGCGGCCACAAUUAUACCAGAGCCAGUGUCUCCGAUGAGCUCCCGGCUUCUCGCUGCCCUUGCGCAGCGGGAGAAGAUGCAGCAGCAGACCCUGAGAAACAUGAGUUCAAGGGACCUUGGCUCGGACGCCUCUGUGCUUGUUGGCUCACCGGUUACCUCGAGCUGGUCCAAGUGGGGAAUUCCCUCCGGCACCCCUAAUUGGGGCGCCGAUGACGAGGAGCUUGGCCGCCUCAAGCGCUCCUCAUCGUUUGAGCUCAGAAGCGGAGCCAAAGGCGAUGAGCCAGACCUCUCAUGGGUCAAUACCUUGGUGAAGGAGCCAACGCCGGAGAAACCAUCCAUCAAUGGGACAACCGCAAUAGAGUCCAUUGGCACUAUGAGUCAGGCAACAAGUCAUGAGGGUAUCGGUGGCGAUGAGGACAACACAGCCGGGGUCAUCGGCAGUUGGCUUGAGCAGCUUCAGCUGGAUGAGAUGGUAGUCUAGAACAAACACAUACAGAUCAAACAAGAAAGGUGCCAUAUUUUUUGCUGUGAUUCACCAGUUGCUGCUACUUACUGAAAUCAACUAGCCUCAUACCUUGCUAGUGAUUGCUGGUGAUACAUUCUUUUGGAGCUGGUUAGUGUAGGUGUUGAGAUUUCCACCACCAUUUAGUAUUCUUCUCCUACAAGUGAAAGAAUUGAGGAAUUGGAGCCUAGUCAAAUGCUGCAGCAAUGUCUAGUGCUGCUGUACUGUGCGUGUUUGACAUUGUGGAUGUCUGCUGGGUCAAUGCUAAUGCCGAAUGCUAAUCUCAGGUUGGCAUUGGAUUUGAUGGGUGCUGUGAUGUUAAUCUUUCCGAGGAUAAAACAACUGGUGGCGGUGGCUCGGUAUGGCCGCCUCGUGUCUUGGCUUCUGUUUGCUCCUGGUCACGGUGGUGAGUGCUGAGUCAUACAGUGACUUGGAUUUUCCGGUUCAAUGUUUGCAUUGCACCUACUCUUUGAUAUAGUUGGAAAGAAGGCCGGAUUUGUUGUUUAAUUAUUCGAUUGGAAGGUGGAGAAUGGAUAAUGGAGAUUGGAGAUGGCAAACUAGGUGACACAAUGCAGAUGUGGAUUCCACUCUCCGCGAUAACCAAUUUUACUAUGUUUGGUUGCUAAUGUGAUCCCAAUCAACUGUUGGGCCGCCUUGGUAGAUUACAAGGGUCUCUUGGUAGAUUAUAAGGGUCUCUGCAUCAACAAAUUUAUGUUUACCAUUAAAAUUUGUAAUGUACUCGUAAUUGUGAUGUAAUGUUGCUCUUACAGACAAGAGCGGAUCUAGC